UUCAGCGCAAUCUCCUCCUCUUCCCAUCGCUCAUUUUCUUUUCUCCCCUCCCGGCGCUCACAUCUUCCACGCAAGAGGCAACCCAUCGACCCCCUCCAGAAAUCUUAUCCCAUCUACUGUACAGGGCGGCGGCGGCUGGGAUCCCAUCUCCACGCCAGGUGCUCUCCGGCACGACCGCCGAUUUGGCUUGCCUCCAUUGCACUCCAGGAUUCUCUGGGGCUACGUUUCGCUGGUGUGUUGCCUGCAUCAUCAAGACGGCGGCACCCCAGUCCUUCCCCACGUCUAUGUCUUUGUUCCAUCCAAUGUAGCUCUGGUGAUGCUCCUCCACCUGCCAUCUGCGCCACCCAAACCAGCCGCAACCUCUUGCAUCCACUGCCCACACAUGUGCCGGCCAAGUUGGCCGCACAACCACAAGCGACCCACAUGGGAAGCGUCGCUGCUCCUAUAGAUGCCACCGUGGCUGCCUCGUUGCAAUCGGGCAUCGUGCAGAGGUAUUUCUACUACAAACUCCAUCUAAGUUGUGAAUAUUUUUCCCUUUUGACUAUUUCUAUAUAAUUAAGUGUUGCACAUGAAGAGUUCUUCGUGAGUAAUCAAGAUUGGUACAUGAAUAUCGCAAUUUCCCUUUCGAUUCCUGUAAUCUCUCUAUUCCUCUUCACAAUAGCGUCUGGGUCCAUCAUCUUUCUUUUCAUUUAUUUUUGGAGAUGGCUCCCUACACCUAUAUAUCUUGAUUUUGCAGCAGGUCGCACGCCGUCAGGAAUCCAUCAAUUCCUACUUCUGCUACUACACGAAGGUACGCACUGAUGUUUAUUCAUGCGUUGGAUCUUUUAAGCCCUUAUUGCUGAAUUCCAAGUCCUUCACCUUCGCUUACUGUUGUGCAUUAUUAGGAUGCCACUUGAUCUCUAUUCAACUUUCUGACCGCUUGUAAUCCUACACCAUAGAGGUAGGCGGUGAUGCUAUGAUAGCUUCUUGCUGCAUUUUUAUUCAUCCACCGAGAUUAACAUUAUGCACUAUAUGAUGAGAUCAUCUGCUCAAGAUUUCUUGUAGUUAAUGUUGUCAUUUUGUGAUUAUCUCUAUAUUAGAAUCUGUAUGUUCUGGCAAUAAAAUGUUUUGUUUGUUUUAUUCCUGUAGGUAUACAGUGCAUUCUAGGCAUUCCCUUAUAUUUUACCCAAACCAAUAUGACCUCACUGAUGACUGACAAGCUUCUCUGCCCUUGAAUCAGCAUCUCGCAUACGAAUGACUGAUGAAAGAUUUUCUUUACUCUUGAAUCCGACCGAUCUUAAUAUUGCAAAACUGUCAGGUUUGAUGCUUCAAGUUCUCAUGCAUGUAAUUCGUAUAAAGGUUUAAUAUUGCAAAACUUCCUUCACUUUCAGCAUCAUUGCCGCUUGCGUGCGCCUCAACCUGCACAUAGAUCGGGAGAAAAGGAUGGCGGAGACUAGAUAAAGGAAGAGGACAAGUGGAGAUAUCAAUUUCGUAUGAUGCAACAUGGUCAGGUAGAUAUGCAGCCGAUAGAAGCGUUUGCUUUGUCAGGGGAGGAGAGCUCCUGCGUCAUACCUGAACUACACCAUGAUCUGCUGCCAUCAAGAUACACACCCAGAUCCAAAAAAAUAGUUUCAACUUGCAGAUUUGUUGUUUACUAACCAAUUUUCUCUAGCAGGCGGCGUCAAUCAUAUUAUUGUACCCCUUUGAUAUAGGCGAUACGUACCGUCCAGUGAAGGUACUUUUUUCUAUAUUCGGCGAUUGAGUCUCAAUCAUUCUGAUGUUUUACUGUCGUGAGUUACAUCAUCAUAUAUGCACACCCGAGAGUGUAGACAAGUAUAGGCCUGUGAACAGUCAAAGGAAGAUGAUAAAAAAAUAGUAUAUGAUGGAAUCAUCUAGCAGUUCCUGGAUGUUGUGCUGUCAAGACUCGAGUGCUAUUUUCCCAAUAUAUAGACUUAAGAACAUCUCCUGCUUUAAUGGUCGUAACAGAUUGUUAUUCUUUUAUUGCUUCAGUGCUACACCUACAGUCUAAUUAUGUCCGUCUUUGCGUCGUAAGAUUCAAUUCUAAUCCCUCUUUAUUGUCAUAAUCUUUUGACACAACGUACAUGCCUUUUGUUUGUAACAAGGUAUCCUGACUUCCCAAGCCAUAAUUCUUACAAUAUUAAUUAGAAUAGAAUGUACGGAAUGCGUAAUAUGCUUAUGGGAUGCUAUGUUCCGUUAUUGAACCAAAGUUCCACUAUGCAAAGUUUAAGAGCUUUCUCCCUUACCUGGCAUUGUCUUAUGAAGUCUAACUGGCUCACAACCUUAUUUCAUUUUAAAACUUACCUUUCUCGCUAAUUUUUGUAUAAUUAUUUCAUUCGCUGAAUCUAGUAGAUUGAAUAAAUUUGCAGAAUUAUGAUACAACCUGAACUGGUACGCUUCUGUUCUCACCAUCAUGCAAAUGUUCUUGCACGCUAUUCUGUUUUGUCCUCCCUGUUAAUGCAGAUGACUACUCGCUAUUGUGGCCAGAUGAAGAUAAGGAAUUUCAUGCAAGUGACAAAGAAGCAUUACCACCACCCAGGGAGAUCUCCAAUGUUUAUUUGUUUUGUGUUUCUUUAUCUGCUCUUUGUGUGUCGGUUAUUUUGGUUGAGCGGAUGGUUGAGUAGUCACUGGAACGGAAACACCGGCAAACAUUGAUAUGAUAUAAAACACACAAUCUUUGUAUUUUUCUUCCCAGUUGUGAAUUGUUUAGUUUUAUGAAAUGAUUUUAUUUUAGCUGGGAGAUGACUGGUUAACAAUUAUAUUCAAAUUAUCUAUAUUUCAUUUCUCUAAUAUAUCCUCUUAUUUCUUUCUACAAUUCCCGCAGCGCGCGGGGUAUCAUCUAGUAUCCCUAGACUAUGUUACUACCUUCAUAGUGGGUAGUAACAUAGGUGUGGUGUCAUAGAAUACAACAUACGGAUGUAUGUAAACACAUUUUAGAGUGUAGAUUCACUCAUUUUGCUCCGUAUGUAGUCACUUGAUGAAAUCUCUAGAAAGACUUAUAUUUAGGAACGGAGGGAGUAAAUUAUAGACUCAUAUUGCAUUGGGACAUGUGAUGCUACAGUAACUAGCUAAGUUACUCAAACUACCUCUCUCUUCAUUAACUCAUUGCCACAUAGACAAAUUUGCUGAGUUGGAUUCGAAGUUACUGCUGAAGUUACUCCCACUGUGGCUAGUCUUGCACGCUCGAGUCAUCAUAAGAGCAAGUUCAGCAGUUCCCGAAGCCCUCUCCGAUCGUUGUUUCAGGGGAGAAAGCAGAAAAAACUACCUCCAGCAGCGCCCUAAUUUACUUCCCUUUUUUUACCUCCCCAAAAACGCUGCCACUCUCCCCUCUAUCUAGGGGAACUACGACCUCCCCAAUCCCCUCCCCGACUUUGCUGCGGAAAGCUCCCUCCCGCCACCGCAUCGCAGGUUCGUUCCCUCCUCAGUUUUCUCUCUGAUCCGGGCAAAAAAUAGUGAAUCUAGGCUAAGGAGUCAUGGCGCUACCGGGGAGUGAUACAGGGGUGGCGUGGCCGCCGUGUGAAGACUGGGACGUGCUGGAAGGGAGGAGCUGGGCGGUGCUGCUAGAGAGAUGACAUGGAUCCAUUCAUGGUGUGGCUUGCUACACGCUUCUCCUAGAGAGAACAGAGAGAAAGAGAGCAGAGAUAGAGAGAUGCGCUGAUUGUUGCACAUUUAUAUAGAUGUAUGGUGCUUCCUUUUAUGAUGUAUGCUAUUGUAUGAUGUGUUGUACUGCUGAUUGCUGCACAUUUAGAUAUAGAUCAGAGAGAUAGCUUGCUACUGGCUGCUGCUGCUAUCGCUAGUAAUUUGCUACUGGCUGCUGCUGCUAUUUGAUUUUAUUUGUAUUUUCUACUGAUUGCUAUUGAUUGUUGCAAGUUAUUUACUACUGGGAGAUAACAUUUACAUAGCUAUUUGCAACUGAUUGCCGGUAGUUAUUUGCUACUGGUUGUUGCACAUCUAUAUGAUGUAUGGUUCGUUUGUUUCUGUUUCAGAUUUUGGUAAUGGACAGCCAGAGUUAUUUUGAUCUUUUGCAAAGUGAUGUCGGAUUGAAUGAUUUGCACUGGACUGAAGAAGAACAAAUUGAUCUCGAAAAGCAUGAAGAACGAUAAAGUGAUCUCGAAGGGCCUGAAGAACCUACUUGUCCUAUGAAGAAAAAGAGGACGGUGCAUUCUAUACCUGUGAAGAAAAACUUAAAAUGAGACAUGAAGAAUCGCUACUAUGGUGAAAACGAAACGGAUGCACCAGUUUCAUACCUAUUGCACAACAUCCUCGGGGUGAAGGUACAGUUCUAAGCAAAAUAGUCCUUGUGGAGGUUCUGAAAGCGUCCCGCAAAAUCACGCUGAAGAGAUUAGCGUCCUAGUUGUGAACCUCCAUGUCGUGGAGCAUCCAACCGGGCUUGUUCUUCCUUUCCUACGAUUGCAGCCAUCAUGAGUUCCUCGUCUUCGGAGGAGGAAUCUUCACAAAUUAUCGGGCCAAGCUUCGACGGCGACUCAUUUCGUUGUGGAGAGAUGGCGAAAGAGAAGUAGAAGAGGAGGCAUAAUCAUGAUUGUGAGAGAUAUGAGGGGUGAUCAUGUAUUUAUAGAGCCGAAUACUAGCCAUUGGAAAACUAGCCAUUUGAAAACUAGCCGUUGGUAGUUAUGAAAUAUUCUUAAAAUAUAGAAUAAGGGAGAUGUUUAGGGGAACUGCUGGAGUUGAGUAAUUUUUAGGGGAGAAUCUUGUUAAGGCAGUCCCCUAUUUUGAGAAAUAGGGGAGAAAUUUUAGGGGGACUGUUGAACUUGCUUUAGGGAGCAACUCUAGCAUAGGCGGCACAAUAACCGUCAAUAAUGAUAUUGACUGAAAAGGUCGUCAUUCA